rnacentral:rRNA from 1 species
GAUGAACGCUGGCGGCGUGCCUAAUACAUGCCAGUCGAGCGAACAGACGAGGAGCUUGCUCCUCUGAUGUUAGCGGCGGACGGGUGAGUAACACGUGUAUAACCUACCUAUAAUACUGGGAUAACUUCGGGAAACCGGAUCUAAUACCGGAUAACAUGUUGAACCGCAUUGUUCAACAGUGAAAGACGGUCUUGCUGUCACUUAUAGAUGGAUCCGCGCCGCAUUAGCUAGUUGGUAAGUUAACGGCUUACCAAGGCAACGAUGCGUAGCCGACCGGAGAGGGUGAUAGGCGACAUGGGAACUGAGCCACGGUCCAGACUCCUAAGGGAGGCAGCAGUAGGGAAUCUUACGCAAUGGGCGAAAGCAUGACGGAGCAACGCCGAGCGAGUGACGAAGGUCUUCGGAUCGUAAAAACCUGUUACUAGGGAAGAACAAAUGUGUAAGUAACUAUGCACGUCUUGACGGUACUUAAUCAGAAAGCAACGGCUAACUACGUG